rnacentral:rRNA from 1 species
GACGAACGCUGGCGGCGUGCCUAAUACAUGCAAGUCGAGCGAGCUUGCCUAGAUGAUUUUAGUGCUUGCACUAAAUGAAACUAGAUACAAGCGAGCGGCGGACGGGUGAGUAACACGUGGGUAACCUGCCCAAGAGACUGGGAUAACACCUGGAGACAGAUGCUAAUACCGGAUAACAACACUAGACGCAUGUCUAGAGUUUGAAAGAUGGUUCUGCUAUCACUCUUGGAUGGACCUGCGGUGCAUUAGCUAGUUGGUGGGGUAACGGCCUACCAAGGCGACGAUGCGUAGCCGACCUGAGAGGGUGAUCGGCCACAUUGGGACUGAGACACGGCCCAG